rnacentral:rRNA from 1 species
UACAGAGGUCUCAAGCGUUGUUCGGAUUCAUUGGGCGUAAAGGGUGCGUAGGCGGCGCGGUAAGUCGGGUGUGAAAUCUCGGAGCUUAACUCCGAAACUGCAUUCGAUACUGCCGUGCUUGAGGACUGGAGAGGAGACUGGAAUUUACGGUGUAGCGGUGAAAUGCGUAGAUAUCGUAAGAACACCCGUGGCGAAGGCGGCUCUCUGGGACGGUACUGACGCUGAGACGCGAAAGCGUGGGGAGCGAACAGG